CCUACGGGUGGCAGCAGUGGGGAAUAUUGCACAAUGGGGGAAACCCUGAUGCAGCGACGCCGCGUGAGUGAAGAAGUAAUUCGUUACGUAAAGCUCUAUCAGCAGGGAAGAAAAUGACGGUACCUGAGUAAGAAGCCCCGGCUAACUACGUGCCAGCAGCCGCGGUAAUACGUAGGGGGCAAGCGUUAUCCGGAUUUACUGGGUGUAAAGGGAGCGUAGACGGUGCAGCAAGUCUGAAGUGAAAUGCCGGGGCUUAACCCCGGUACUGCUUUGGACACUGGGGAGCUAGAGUGCGGGAGGGGUAGGCGGAAUUCCUAGUGUAGCGGUGAAAUGCGUAGAUAUUAGGAGGAACACCAGUGGCGAAGGCGGCUUGCUGGACCGUAACUGACGUUGAGGCUCGGAAGCGUGGGGAGCAAACAGGAUUAGAUACCCGUGUAGUC
rnacentral:rRNA from 1 species